UACCUGACAAAGCAGAAUUUUCUUUUUCGUUUUUAGGGUGUAAUCCUAAGGAUACUACGACGGUGAUUAUGAUUAACAUGGAAGAUAAUGCUGGAUCUGGAAAUUUCAAGAUGACUUGCUUAAUGACUGCUAAGUUCUGGCUGUCGUUCUUCAUGCAUGGGCUCAUCGGUAACUGGCAAAAUGGGGCGUCCCGGAGAAGGGCUGUCAACUGGUCGGAAUGUGAAACCAGGAGAAUCUGCACUUGAAAGUGACUCAGGAGUUCCAACAGAACUGAGGGAUCCAGGCAGUGGACUCGAUGUUGCAUCCAAUCUGAUAACAAUUUUAAAACAUGUAAUGGAGAAGAGAUAAUGCCAUAGCAAAUAAAAAAAGUAAAAGCUG